rnacentral:rRNA from 1 species
UACGGAGGGUGCAAGCGUUGUCCGGAUUUAUUGGGUUUAAAGGGUGCGUAGGCGGCCUCUUAAGUCAGUGGUGAAAGCCCGCGGCUCAACCGCGGAACUGCCAUUGAUACUGGGAGGCUUGAGUACAGACGAGGUAGGCGGAAUUGAAGAUGUAGCGGUGAGAUGCUUAGAUAUCUUCAAGAACACCGAUUGCGUAGGCAGCUUACUAGGCUGUAACUGACGCUGAGGCACGAAAGCGUGGGGAGCGAACAGG